rnacentral:lncRNA from 1 species
CUCUAUAUAGAAAAUACUCUUUAAUUAUCUCCCAUGUCUACGAAAGGAUACUGUCAGAAUAGCAGAUGGUUCCUCCACUCCUAUCUCUGGCACCGGUUUUAUUGUUUAUACUUCAAAUAUCAAGUUAUCCUUUAUUUUUCAUGUUUCUUAUUUUCCUAUUAAUCUUUUAUCUGUUAGUACUCUCACCAAAGCACUUAACUGUAAAAUUGAAUUUUUUUUCCUGGCCAUUAUGUUGUUCAUGACCUUUAAACUGGAAAGAGGAUUGGUAAUGGUAGACUGCAUGAUAGCUUAUAUAUGUUGGAAGGUGUUGAAUCCCACAUCGGUUGUGGAAAGGGGUAAUGUGCCCUUUAUAUGGACCAUAGGCACUCCUCCCCCAAGAGCUAGCUUUUGGGGUGAGUUAGGCCUGGCCCAAAUUUAACAUGGUAUCAGAGCCUCCCCAUCCGAUGUUGGGUGCCCCAUAAAUGUGCCACGCACCAGUUAAAAAAUCUGGGCGUGAGGGGGUGUGUUGAAUCCCACAUCGGUUGUGAAAAGGGGUAAUGUGCCCCUUAUAUGGGCCAUAGGCACUCCUCCCCCUUGAGCUAGCUUUUGGGGUGAGUUAGGCCUGGCCCAAAUUUAACAGAAGGGAAUAUGAGUUUGAAUUCACCUCGAACUCUUUUUGGAAGAAAUCAGGAUGUCAACCAGGAAAUCAUACAGUGGCAUCAACAGUUAGGACACUCAUCCUUCUUUGUUUUAGAAAAACUUUAUCUUGAUUUUUUUUUCAAGGCUCAAUGUGAUUGUUUGUGAUGCUUGUGAGUAUGUUAAGCAUACAAGAAAAUCUUAUCCCUCAAGUAACAAUAGGAGUACAAUCCCUUUUGAGAUCAUCCAUUCUGAUUUUUGGGGACCUAUUCAAAUAGUUUCAUUAUCUGGUAAUCGUUGGUUUGUUACUUUUAUUGAUUGUUGCACUCGCAUGACUUGGGUUUAUUUGAUAAAGGCAAAGAGUACUGUGUUUUCUUGAUUUCAAUCUUUUCACAAGAUAGUUUGUACUCAAUUUGAUGCUAAGAUAAAAGUUUUGAGAACUAAUCGUUUUUCUGCUUAUCUAGAGUCUAAUGGGAUAUUACAUCAAACUAGUUAUUCUUACACUAGUGCCCAAAAUGGUGUUGUUGAAAGGAAAAUAGACACCUAUUGGAAGUAGCCAGAUUUCUCAUUUUUACUAUGAAUCUUUCAAAAAUCAAUUAGAGAGAUGCAGUCUUAGCCACAACUUAUUUCAUUAAUUGAAUGCCUCUCAAAACUCUUACCUUUAAAAGUCCUUUAAAGAUGCUACAAGGGAAAAAUGCGUAUACUGUUUCAUCAAAGGUAUUUGGAUGCAUGUGUUUUAUUCAUAAUAGGACAGGUGUAAAGCUCGAUCCAAGGGCUCUUAAAUGUGUAUUUGUUGGGUAUUCUCCCACACAGAAGGGUUAUAAGUGUUAUCACCCUCCAUCUAAAAAAUAUUUUGUUAGUAUGGAUGUUAUAUUUAGAGACUCAAUCUUACUUCAGUACUACCCCGUCACCUCUUCAGGGGAGAGGAUAAUGAGAGAAGAGAUGAUUCCUAGUCCUAUAACUCUAGAGCGUUUUACUCUUGAUAAGACUACUAUAUAGGGGGGACUAUUGGUAAUCAGGAAAAGAUAAUCGAGGGUUUGGAUAAAUCAGAUUUAAGGAGAUACUCAAGAAGAGACAAAACAGAAGCAAAAAUGUGUGCAAUCUACUCAGUGUCAUGAAUCUUCCUCUUCUCCAUUUGGUGAGUCAUCCUAAACCUUGAGUUUAUUGAUGAUCUAAAUAAACCAAUUGCUCAAAGAAAAGGCGUUAGAUCUUGCACAAAGCACUCUAUUUCUAACUUUCUCUCUUGUGAUUUUUUGUCUCCAUCCUAUAGAGCCUCUGCCUUGUCUAUUUUCUCUCUAUCUAUCCCACAGGAUUGAAAAUAAGUUCUCAAAGAUUCUAAUUGAAAGGGAGCAAUGAUUGAAGAAAUGAAAGUCUUGGCUAAAAAUGAGACAUUGGAGUUGAUGCUCUUCCACCUGAAACAAAACCAGUUGGCUGCAAAUGGGUGUUCACUAUAAAAUACAAAGCAAAUGGAUCAAUUGAAAGAUUUAAGGCCAGACUAGUUGUCAAGGGAUACACUCAAAUCUAUGGAGUGAAUUACCAGGAGACAUUUGCCUUUAUUGUCAAAAUAAACUCAAUCAGAGUAUUGCUAUUUUGCAUUGCCAAUCUUGAUUGGGACCUACAGCAAUUUGAUAUGAAAAAUGCAUUCCUCCACUGAGAUUUAUAGAAGAAAGUGUAUAUGGAAAUCCCUCAUGGAUUUGCUGAUAAAAAAACACAAGGUAUGCAGCUAAAAAAGGCUUUGUAUGGGUUGAAGCUGUCACCCAGAGUUUGGUUUGAUUAGUUCAGCGGAGCUAUGAUUACCUUUGACUAUCGACAGAGCAAUGCUGACCGUGCCCUAUUUAUCAGACAUCACAAGGGUAAAAUUACUCUUCUCAUAGUCUAUGUUAAUGGCAUAGUAAUGAAAAGGGGAUGGCACUAAAGAGAUGACUCGGCUGAAAAAGCCUUUGUUUCAGGGGUUCAAAAUUAAAGAUCUAGGAAAAUAUUAAUAUUUCCAAGGAAUCAAGGUUGCCAAAUCAAAAAAGAGAAUCUUUAUUUCUCAGAUAAAAUACGUUCUAAAUAUUUUGAAAGAAACUGGUAUGUUAGGCUGCAAAUUAGCAGAAACUCCCAUUGAAAGCAAUCACAAGCUACAAGCAGGGAUUGGUGAAUCAGUAGAUAUUGGCAGAUAUCAGGUUGGUAGGCAGACUGAUGUAUCUUUCGCAUAUUCGACUAUACAUACCAUAUGCAAUCAGCUUAGUCAGUCAGUUUAUGCUUAGUCAGUCAGUUUAUACAUGAUCUUCGAGAGUCUCACAUGCAAGCUGAAAAUGUCUCCUAUUCUCUGAACAUAAUCAUUGUUAUAUACACGCAUCCAUAGAUGCAGAUUGGGCUGGAUCCUUUGAUGAUAGGAGGUCGACUAGUGAUUACUGCACAUUUGUGAGAGGAAAUCUUAUCAUUUGGAGAAGCAAAAAGCAAAGUGGUGUUGCUCGAUCAAGUGCUGAGGUGGAAUAUAGAGCGAUGACACAAGAUGUUUGUAAACUCAUAUGGUUGCAAAGCUUGUUAGAGGAAUUGACACUGUUAGAAAGGGACAAACUCACAAUCCAAUUCAACAUGACCGAAGAAGCACAUAUUGAUUGAUUGACAUUUCAUUGAAGAGAAGUUAAUAAAUAGUGUCUUGAGAUUAGAUCAUGUGACUUCCGAUGAAUAGCUAGCUAAUGUGUUUACUAAAGGGUUCGGCAAUAAGAACUAUCACACUUCGGUUUGUAAGUUGGGCAUGUGCGAUAUCUAUGCACCAACUUGAGGGGAGUGUUGACUAACAUAGAAGGUUCCUAAUUAGGAUGAUUGAGAUCUUUGGAAUUCUAAUUUGGCUUGAUUACAGGGCUUGAUUAUAGAGAUUUUAUACUUAUUAUAAAUAUUUCUAAUUUAGGUUGAUUCUUUGUGUAUAAAUACUCAAACCUUGUAAAGAUCAAUUCAAUUGGAAUAUAAUAAAAAAUUCUGUCUAAAAUUCUUUAAACCCCUAUAUCAUAUAAUGCCUUUAGAGCCCCUCUAAAAAAAGGUGAAAAAAAUAUUAAAGAGAUUUCAAGAGAAAUAAUAAUUCUAUGAUUUUAAUAUUAUUAUGGUUCAAGAGAAAGUAACAUUCACUUGGACACUACAGUGAUAAUGUAUUGAAUCAAGAAUUGAUAAUUUUGUCCCUAAUAAUGCCUCUAAUUAUGAUGGAUGAACAAAUUGAAAAUCUUAAUUAUGGCAAUGAAAUUGUCUUUUUGGUUGAUACUCUAUUGCCUAUUGUCUUUCAUAUUAUCGAGUUGUGAAUAAUUUCCUUAGUUGUCAAUAUGCAACAUACUUGGUAAUAUUGUCUAUUUACCAUUAUUUAACCAAUAGCAAAAUUCUCAAUUCAGCCCUCCAAAUUUAACCCAAAUGUCAACACCCCUAAUUUUAGCCAAUCAAUCCCUUACUUUUACUUGAAAUUGGGAAUUUGUCAAUGUUGGAGAAAAUAAAAAGAGAAGUGGGAGCAAAUCCCACAUCGUAAAAGAGAAAGAAAAACGGAGGAUUUAUAAGUUAGGUGGUGUCAUUAAAAAAUGACUACUAAAGGGCAUUUUGGAGAAGGCCACUACAACAAACCCAAUUAAGCCCCAUUUUGGAGCCGAGCGCUCUCUCCAUUCUCAGACUUGGACCGGGUCUAUAAAAAAUUCCAACAUGGUAUCAGAGCCCAAUGGUGUCACAGCCCACGAAGAUCCUUGAUCCAAGAAAUUUUCUUGCGUGUUGGACUAACACUUACGGGUCAGACCCACUAAGAAUAUUCAAGAUCUGCAGCCCAAGAUUUUAAGCCCAAAAAGAUGGAAGGCUCAAUGAGGAAGGCUGAGGCCCAAAACCUGAAGCCCAAGAAUGGAGCCUGAUUGAGGAAGACCCGAUUGAAAUACUAAAAGCCCUGUGAGCCGAGCGCUCUCUCCAUUCUCAGACUUGGACCGGGUCUAUAAAAAAUUCCAACAUGGUAUCAGAGCCCAAUGGUGUCACAGCCCACGAAGAUCCAAGAUCCAAGAAAUUUUCUUGCGUGUUGGACUAACACUUACGGGUCAGACCCACUAAGAAUAUUUAAGAUCUGCAGCCCAAGAUUUUAAGCCCAAACAGAUGGAAGGCUCAAUGAGGAAGGCUGAGGCCCAAAACUUGAAGCCCAAGAAUGGAGCCUGAUUGAGGAAGACCCGAUUGAAAUACUAAAAGCCCUGUGAGCUUUUGAAGUUUAAGAAGAGUACAAGCGCAGGUAAAAUGAGAGAGACCUGAGAUCUCUGAUACUCAAAAAAAAAAAAAAAAAGAACACGCGCUCAGAUGAGCAAAUGAAGGCAAGUCACAGUUGGGUGAAGUCAAGUUACAACUAGGCCAAACCAAUUGGACUUCAGGGGAAGUGUUGGGGAAAAAAAAGGGGAAGCAAGUCAUAAUUGGGCCAAACCAGGUGAACUUGAGGUGGGGGGGGAUUGUUGGGGAAAAAAAGGGGAAGCAAGGGGGAGUAAAUCCCACAUCAUAAAAAAGAAAGAAAAAAAAGGCCCAAUUAAGCCCCAUUUUGGGACCCAAAGCUCUCUCCACUCUCUAAUUUGGACUGGGCCCAUCAGAAAUUCCAACAAUCAAUUCAUUAUUAUUUCCUUAGUUGUCAAUAUGAAAUAUACUUGGUAAUAUUGUCUAUUGACCAUUAUUUAACUAAUGACAAAAUUCUCAAUUAAGCCCUCCAAAUUUAACCCAAAUAUCAGCAUCCUCAAUUUUUGCCAAUCCAUCCCUUACUUCUACAGUUCUACUUGAAAUUGGGAUUCGUCAAUGCAUUAUUAAGUUCAUUGCAAAAUUGCCUUUAUUUAACCUUUUAACAAGGACAGAAUUGACAUUCCGUAUACGCUCACAAACAAGGAAACCUUUACAACUUUUUCCCAAGAAAGGAAAAGAUUUCCCUAACACAAAAUUAUGCUGAAGUUGCUCGGAGGACUUCAAAACCACCAUCACUCCCCACCCCCCCCUGCCCGCCCCGCCUUCUACCCAAAAUUUGAGAGAAAUGCAGG